rnacentral:lncRNA from 1 species
GGAGGGUAUGCCACGCCCCAGUUCAAUCACGUACUAGGCUUCCCCAUCCCAUACUAGGUAUGAGAUUAGUACUUUCAAACACUUGAUCACGAACGCCGACACGUUUUGACCUUAGUCCAUUUUUAUUUAGACAGAUGGGGCAAACCAUCAAGUAUCAAACAUAAGCCCGACCCUGUCUGUCGUCCUUAUAGUUGCAACAUUAAAAAAAGCAUUCAACUCCUAUAACUCGCAAGUG